AGCUUUGCGCAGUGGCAGUAUCGUAGCCAAUGAGGUUUAUCCGAGGCGCGAUUAUUGCUAAUUCAAAAUAAGCUGUUUUUCCAAUUCAAGGGGAGGAGAUGGUGUCCACUGCUGGUGAGGACCUCAGUCC
rnacentral:snRNA from 1 species